rnacentral:rRNA from 1 species
UAAGGAAUAUUGGUCAAUGGACGCAAGUCUGAACCAGCCAUGCCGCGUGAAGGAAGACGGCCCUACGGGUUGUAAACUUCUUUUGUACAGGAAAAAACCACCGGUCGUGAAUCAGUGCUGAUGGUACUGUAAGAAUAAGGAUCGGCUAACUCCGUGCCAGCAGCCGCGGUAAUACGGAGGAUCCAAGCGUUAUCCGGAGUCAUUGGGUUGAAAGGGUGCGCAGGCGGAAUGAUAAGUCAGUGGUGAAAUCCUACAGCUCAACUGUAGAACUGCCAUUGAUACUGUCGUGCUGGAGUACACUUGGAGUGGGCGGAAUGUGUCAUGUAGCGGUGAAAUGCUUAGAUAUGACACAGAACACCGAUCGCGAAGGCAGCUCACUAAAUUGUAACUGACGCUCAGGCACGAAAGCGUGGGGAUCAAACA